AGAACCAGAUCUCCAGCUGAUGUAAAUAAGCCUAGUUUGAUGCUUCGGUGGAGCUGCAUUGAUUUAUUCCAGCUGAACAUCUGGUUCA